rnacentral:snRNA from 1 species
GGAUAUGAGGGCGACCUGGUUGUGACAGCUGUCACCUCACUGAUUGCCAGGGUUGAUUCAGCUGAUCUGGCUGGCUAGGAAGGUGUCCCCUUCCUCUCUAACUACUCCAUGUGCGUCCCUCCUGAGGCCGUGUUUGGUCAAAGAGGACAACCAUCCCCAAGAGAGGAGGACUGGUCUUCCAUCAAGGGCACACAGGUAGGCAUGCUUCCCUGCUACAACCUCCAAACUCUCAAGGUGCAAAAUGCAUUUCAGCUCAAAUAGUCAAUGCAUUCUUUCAACAUUAGUGAAUCAUU